CUUAUCCUUUGUUGCCAGCGGUCCGGCCGGGAACUCAAAGGAGACUGCCAGUGAUAAACUGGAGGAAGGUGGGGAUGACGUCAAGUCAUCAUGGCCCUUACGACCAGGGCUACACACGUGCUACAAUGGCGCAUACAAAGAGAAGCGACCUCGCGAGAGCAAGCGGACCUCAUAAAGUGCGUCGUAGUCCGGAUUGGAGUCUGCAACUCGACUCCAUGAAGUCGGAAUCGCUAGUAAUCGUGGAUCAGAAUGCCACGGUGAAUACGUUCCCGGGCCUUGUACACACCGCCCGUCACACCAUGGGAGUGGGUUGCAAAAGAAGUAGGUAGCUUAACCUUCGGGAGGGCGCUUACCACUUUGUGAUUCAUGACUGGGGUGAAGUCGUAACAAGGUAACCGUAGGGGAACCUGCGGUUGGAUCACCUCCUU
rnacentral:rRNA from 1 species